GUGCAGCCAAUUAAGCCGAUAGGGUUCCUUUCCUCACGGGGGCCCAGUGUGCAGUGGCUGCAGGCAGCAGCCUCUUUGGUAGUGUAGUAACCUGUUGCUUGUACAGUUGCCCUAAGGGACCUUGGAGACAGUU
ensembl:snoRNA SNORA70 Small nucleolar RNA SNORA70